ACAAUGGGCGAAAGCCUGAUGCAGCAACGCCGCGUGAGGGAUGACGGCCUUCGGGUUGUAAACCUCUUUUAGUAGGGAAGAAGCGAAAGUGACGGUACCUGCAGAAAAAGCACCGGCUAAUUAU
rnacentral:rRNA from 1 species